rnacentral:rRNA from 1 species
AGACCCGAAACCCGGUGAUCUAGCCAUGGGCAGGUUGAAGGUUGGGUAACACUAACUGGAGGACCGAACCGACUAAUGUUGAAAAAUUAGCGGAUGACCUGUGGCUGGGGGUGAAAGGCCAAUCAAACCGGGAGAUAGCUGGUUCUCCCCGAAAGCUAUUUAGGUAGCGCCUCGUGAAUUCAUCUCCGGGGGUAGAGCACUGUUUCGGCUAGGGGGCCAUCCCGGCUUACCAACCCGAUGCAAACUGCGAAUACCGGAGAAUGUUAUCACGGGAGACACACGGCGGGUGCUAACGUCCGUCGUGAAGAGGGAAACAACCCAGACCGCCAGCUAAGGUCCCAAAGUCAUGGUUAAGUGGGAAACGAUGUGGGAAGGCCCAGACAGCCAGGAUGUUGGCUUAGAAGCAGCCAUCAUUUAAAGAAAGCGUAAUAGCUCACUGGUCGAGUCGGCCUGCGCGGAAGAUGUAACGGGGCUAAACCAUGCACCGAAGCUGCGGCAGCGAACGUAUCACCCAAGACAACUUUACGGAGUUGACGAUUGACGGAGCGAAGCGACGUCAAAGCGUUCAUUAAAGUCGAGUUGGCUUAGGGAUACGUUCGUUGGGUAGGGGAGCGUUCUGUAAGCCCGUGAAGGUGGCCUGUGAGGGUUGCUGGAGGUAUCAGAAGUGCGAAUGCUGACAUAAGUAACGAUAAAGCGGGUGAAAAGCCCGCUCGCCGGAAGACCAAGGGUUCCUGUCCAACGUUAAUCGGGGCAGGGUGAGUCGACCCCUAAGGCGAGGCCGAAAGGCGUAGUCGAUGGGAAACGGGUUAAUAUUCCCGUACUUGGUGUUACUGCGAAGGGGGGACGGAGAAGGCUAUGUUGGCCGGGCGACGGUUGUCCCGGUUUAAGCGUGUAGGUGUGUGUUCCAGGUAAAUCCGGUUCACUUUAACACUGAGGCGUGACGACGAGGCACUACGGUGCUGAAGCAACAAAUGCCCUGCUUCCAGGAAAAGCCUCUAAGCAUCAGGUAACACGAAAUCGUACCCCAAACCGACACAGGUGGUCAGGUAGAGAAUACCAAGGCGCUUGAGAGAACUCGGGUGAAGGAACUAGGCAAAAUGGUGCCGUAACUUCGGGAGAAGGCACGCUGACACGUAGGUGAAGUGAUUUACUCAUGGAGCUGAAGUCAGUCGAAGAUACCAGCUGGCUGCAACUGUUUAUUAAAAACACAGCACUGUGCAAACACGAAAGUGGACGUAUACGGUGUGACGCCUGCCCGGUGCCGGAAGGUUAAUUGAUGGGGUCAGCG